ensembl:snRNA U5 U5 spliceosomal RNA
UCUGGUUUCUCUUCAGAUCGCAUAAAUCUUCUGCCUUUUACCAAAGAUUUCUGUGGAGAGGAACAAUUCUGA